GCUUUGGGUGCGUGGCCCGGCCUAAGUUCCUUGGAACAGGACGUCGUAGAGGGUGAGAAUCCCGUAUGCGGCCGGGGCGCCUGCCCGUGUAAAGCUCUUUCGACGAGUCGAGUUGUUUGGGAAUGCAGCUCAAAAUGGGUGGUAAAUUUCAUCUAAAGCUAAAUAUGGGCCAGAGACCGAUAGCGCACAAGUAGAGUGAUCGAAAGAUGAAAAGCACUUUGGAAAGAGAGUUAAACAGUACGUGAAAUUGUUGAAAGGGAAGCGCUUGCAACCAGACUUGGGCGUCGCUGAUCAUCCAAAGUUUUCUUUGGUGCACUCGGCGAGGCACAGGCCAGCAUCGGUUGGGGUGGUGGGAGAAAGGUCGUGGGAACGUAGCUCCUUUCGGGGAGUGUUAUAGCCUGCGGCGCAAUACCACCUACUCCGACCGAGGACCGCGCUUCGGCUAGGAUGCUGGCGUAAUGGUUGUAAGCGACCCGUCUUGAAACACGGACCAAGGAGUCUAACAUCUAUGCGAGUGUUUGGGUGCAAAACCCAUACGCGUAAUGAAAGUGAACGUAGGUGAGAACCCUUCGAGGGGGCAUCAUCGACCGAUCCUGAUGUCUUCGGAUGGAUUUGAGUAUGAGCAUAGCUGUUGGGACCCGAAAGAUGGUGAACUAUGCCUGAAUAGGGUGAAGCCAGAGGAAACUCUGGUGGAGGCUCGCAGCGGUUCUGACGUGCAAAUCGAUCGUC
rnacentral:rRNA from 1 species